AAGUCGUAACAAGGUCUCCGUCGGUGAACCAGCGGAGGGAUCAUUACCGAGUUCUUACAGAACCCAACCCUUGUGUGAUAAGCUCUCACCCAGCUUUUACACGAGAGUCUCGGCCUAAUCGCCGAGGCAGUGUAAAAAACAAAACCUCUGUAUCAUUAUCACAAAUUUCUGAAGACUUUUUAAAAGAGUCAAAACUUUCAACAACGGAUCUCUUGGUUCUGGCAUCGAUGAAGAACGCAGCGAAAUGCGAUACGUAAUGUGAAUUGCAGAAUUCAGUGAAUCAUCGAAUCUUUGAACGCACAUUGCGCCCGCCAGUAUUCUGGCGGGCAUGCCUGUCCGAGCGUCAUUUCAACCCAUCAAGCCUAGCGCUUGUGUUGGAGCCCUGCGGCCGCCGCAGCCUCCUAAAAUCAGUGGCGGGCUCGCUAUCACGCUGAGUGCAGUAGUAUUCUUCUCACUCCUGUUGUGUAGCGGGUAACCAGCCGUAAAAACCCCCAUAUUCAAAGGUUGACCUCGGAUCAGGUAGGAAUACCCGCUGAACUUA
rnacentral:rRNA from 1 species